UACAGAGGUCUCAAGCGUUGUUCGGAUUCAUUGGGCGUAAAGGGUGCGUAGGCGGCGCGGUAAGUCGGGUGUGAAAUCUCGGAGCUUAACUCCGAAACUGCAUUCGAUACUGCCGUGCUUGAGGACUGGAGAGGAGACUGGAAUUUACGGUGUAGCAGUGAAAUGCGUAGAUAUCGUAAGGAAGACCAGUGGCGAAGGCGAAUCUCUGGACAGUUACUGACAUUGAGGCACGAAGGCCAGGGGAGCAAACGGG
rnacentral:rRNA from 1 species